UACAGAGGGGGCAAGCGUUGUUCGGAAUUACUGGGCGUAAAGGGCGCGUAGGCGGCCUGUUAAGUCGAACGUGAAAUCCCCGGGCUCAACCCGGGAACUGCGUCCGAUACUGGCAGGCUUGAAUCCGGGAGAGGGAUGCGGAAUUCCAGGUGUAGCGGUGAAAUGCGUAGAUAUCUGGAGGAACACCGGUGGCGAAGGCGGCAUCCUGGACCGGCAUUGACGCUGAGGCGCGAAAGCCAGGGGAGCAAACGGGG
rnacentral:rRNA from 1 species